rnacentral:rRNA from 1 species
UACAGAGGUCCCAAGCGUUGUUCGGAUUCAUUGGGCGUAAAGGGUGUGUAGGUGGCGCCGUAAGUCGGGUGUGAAAUCUCGGGGCUUAACUCCGAAACUGCGUUCGAUACUGCGGUGCUUGAGGACUGGAGAGGAGACUGGAAUUCAUGGUGUAGCAGUGAAAUGCGUAGAGAUCAUGAGGAAGACCAGUGGCGAAGGCGGGUCUCUGGACAGUUCCUGACACUGAGACACGAAGGCCAGGGGAGCAAACGGG